rnacentral:lncRNA from 1 species
AAUAUUAACUCAAGCAUUAAGAACACAUAAUUAAGAAUAAAUCAAGUAUUUAUCAUACAAUUCAGAUAAUAAUAACAAGAUCCAUUAUAGGUUUUAUCCCCCUUAGGUAUCUAAGGGGUUUAGUUCAUAAUAAAAUAAGAGUACAUCUCAAAAGCAUGAAAAUAACAAAACAUAAAGAAAACUCUAAAACCCCUGAAGGAAUUCUGAGAGAGAUCUUCAGUCUUGGAGUAGCUCCGACUUUUGAGAUGGAUCGUCUGGCUUCC